UACGAAGGGGGCUAGCGUUGUUCGGAAUUACUGGGCGUAAAGCGCGCGUAGGCGGAUCGCUAAGUCAGGGGUGAAAUCCCAGGGCUCAACCCUGGAACUGCCUUUGAUACUGACGAUCUGGAGAUCGGGAGAGGUUGGUGGAAUUCCGAGUGUAGAGGUGAAAUUCGUAGAUAUUCGCAAGAACACCAGUGGCGAAGGCGGCUCACUGGCCCGAUACUGACGCUGAGGCACGAAAGCGUGGGGAGCAAACAGG
rnacentral:rRNA from 1 species